UAAAGAAUACGACGUCAUAGUGCUCGGAACGGGCCUCAAAGAAUGCAUUCUCAGCGUCCUCCUCACCUCUCAGUGGACGGUCUCAAGGUACUGCAUAUGGAUAGGAAUGACUACUAUGGAGGAGAGUCCACCUCUCUUAAUCUCAACCAGAUAUAAUUAUAUACAUGUAUAUUGUUAUUUAGAGAGAGAGGGAGGGAGAGAAAGGCAAAGUGUACAAGCAAUCCAAGCCCUGAGUGUUGGUCAUUUGAGCUGCUUAUAUCUUGCUCUCUGGUCUUUUACUAAAUCCGGCUCUUUCCUUCUUCUUUUUUUGUCGAAAAAUUCGGCUCCUUCUGUUCUGUCUAUAAGGUAAAUUUUCUGUUUGUGCAA